rnacentral:lncRNA from 1 species
CCAUAUCCUAACUUUUUUUUUAACAUUUAACAAACAAUUCAAAGCCACAAUUUUCUUUAUUCACUUUAUUAAGUUUUUCAAGAUAUUUUCUACCUAUAAGCCCUUCUUAGCCCCUCACUCAUCCAAAUUUUUUUUUCAAGUUCUAUGGGCUAGGCUAUUCAACUUUAUCAUCUAGCAUCUCUUGUCUUUUAAGAACAUAUAUUGACAACUUUACAUACACCUUUCUUGUCUUUU